UCGGCGAUUGGGACGAAGUCGUAACAAGGUAGCCGUACCGGAAGGUGCGGCUGGAUCACCUCCUUUCUAAGGAGC
rnacentral:rRNA from 1 species